CUCGCAUGUUGGGGCGCAUGGCGCUGUACUUAAACCCUAACUAGGAGGCUUACCUGUAGUUUGAAAGACAUUAUUAACUUAAUCGUAGUUUGAUUAUUAAGUGAGAAGUGUAUGUACUAGUACGUGAUUUCUUCUCUGUAGAAUUCUGAAGGAACUUGGACAUUGCACCUCCUCUGCAACAAGCAAACCAGCCCUCCUUGGCUACAGUAUAUGGCUAUCUUGGUUCCUCUACUGAAUGAAAUUCCGAAGAAUCUUGGACAUUAAUUGUUUCUCCUUUUGCAAUGAGUCAAUCUGCCCUGCUAGCGAGUAUUACUGUGUUGCUUCCUCUACUGAAUGGCUCUUUUUUGACUCAUUUGCAUAAUUCACUAGACAAUGGCUUCAUCACAAUGAUGUAAUGAUAAUGAAUAUUCAUAGUCAGGAAACUGCUGAAAUGACACCACAGCAAAAGCAACUUCUUGAUGGCAUAUAUAUCUUCAGCAUGUGUAUCCAGGUAGCACCUGGAUGGCAGUGUGUUGAGUGUUGCAUGUAGCAUCCUACUGCUUGGAAAGGCUGACUGUCCAGAUUUGGAUUAACAUUUUCAAUAGAAAUUCUGAAGAAACUUGGACAUUAAUUAUACCUCCUUUUGCAAUGAGUCAACCUGCCCUGCUAGCCAGUAUUACUGUGUUGCUUCCUCUACUGAAUGGUGAGUGUAAUGGCAAAAGUUUGUGAAUGUUUAAUAUUAUGAAUUUCAUGUCCAUUGUAAAUUGCAUGUCCAUUGCAAAUUGCUUUGUGGGAUAAAUAUGUACCCAAGAAAGUUUGUUUUACAUAUGAGUUUAAUAGUCUAUAAUACUGUAGUAAUAAUAGUAAUUGUUUUUCCUCUGUAAGCAUACCAAUUAUUUUGGUUGUCAGUAUUACAGUAGGCCUACAACUUAUAUUUCCCUAUUUCAUAAUUAAAUUUUAAUAAAUUUUUGUUUAUGACAUACAAUUUAACUAUAAUAAUAACAAUAUAGCAAUGGUUUUAAUAUC